GACGAACGCUGGCGGCGUGCCUAAUACAUGCUAGUAGAACGCUGAAGAGAGGAGCUUGCUCUUCUUGGAUGAGUUGCGAACGGGUGAGUAACGCGUAGGUAACCUGCCUUGUAGCGGGGGAUAACUAUUGGAAACGAUAGCUAAUACCGCAUAACAAUGGAUGACACAUGUCAUUUAUUUGAAAGGGGCAAUUGCUCCACUACAAGAUGGACCUGCGUUGUAUUAGCUAGUAGGUGAGGUAAUGGCUCACCUAGGCGACGAUACAUAGCCGACCUGAGAGGGUGAUCGGCCACACUGGGACUGAGACACGGCCCAGACUCCUACGGGAGGCAGCAGUAGGGAAUCUUCGGCAAUGGGGGCAACCCUGACCGAGCAACGCCGCGUGAGUGAAGAAGGUUUUCGGAUCGUAAAGCUCUGUUGUAAGUCAAGAACGGGUGUGAGAGUGGAAAGUUCACACUGUGACGGUAGCUUACCAGAAAGGGACGGCUAACUACGUG
rnacentral:rRNA from 1 species